rnacentral:rRNA from 1 species
GACGAACGCUGGCGGCGUGCCUAAUACAUGCAAGUCGAACGCUGAUUUUUUAACUGAUGCUUGCAUCGACCAAAAAAUCGGAGUGGCGAACGGGUGAGUAACACGUGGGCAACCUGCCCCUGACUCUGGGAUAAGCGCUGGAAACGGUGUCUAAUACUGGAUAUGUGAUGUGACCGCAUGGUCUGCGUCUGGAAAGAUUUUUCGGUUGGGGAUGGGCUCGCGGCCUAUCAGCUUGUUGGUGAGGUAAUGGCUCACCAAGGCGUCGACGGGUAGCCGGCCUGAGAGGGUGACCGGCCACACUGGGACUGAGACACGGCCCAGACUCCUACGGGAGGCAGCAGUGGGGAAUAUUGCACAAUGGGCGGAAGCCUGAUGCAGCAACGCCGCGUGGGGGAUGACGGCCUUCGGGUUGUAAACCUCUUUUAGCAGGGAAGAAGCGUGAGUGACGGUACCUGCAGAAAAAGCGCCGGCUAACUACGUGCCAGCAGCCGCCGUA